GGGCAAGCUGCAUUCUGAGAGGUCAGGGCCGAUUGCAGGGAAGGGUCGGCAGAAGGGCAGCACGAGGACAUCAUCUCAUCCAAGAGGUUAAAGCCCUGAAAAGAGAGACUGGGCCCUUUCUGAAGAGAGAGAUUCUGUUGCUGGCUUUGAAGAAGCAAGCUACCACAAAUUCUACAGCUACAAGAAAAUAAAUUCUGCCAAGAACCAUGUGCACUUGGACAAGAACCCUGAGACCAAAGCCCCAGCCAACACUUUGUGAGACCCUGACCAGGGCACCCAGCUAAGUUGUGCUUAGACUACAGAAACCUGACCCAUGCAAGCUGUGAG
rnacentral:lncRNA from 1 species